UUUUCCAGAUCAUUUCAUUUGAUGUUCACUUUUCUUUUUUUUUUUUUAAUUUUUUGAUUUUACUGGAUAGAUGAUUCUGGAAGCCAUAGAGGCAUUGAAUGAGAGAGAGGGCUCCAGUAUGUCAUCCAUCGCCAAGCACAUCGACUCCACUCACUCCGAUCUCCCAGCGUCUCACACCACUCUCCUCUCCCACCACCUCAACCAGAUGAAACAAAUGGGUCAAAUUGUUAUGUUGAACAACAAUUACUCGAAACCCGACCCCAAUGCCCCACCCAAGCGUGGACGUGGACGUCCACCUAAACCCAAGGUUCCUCUUCCACCUGGCGUCGUCGUCUCUCCUCCCAGACCUCGUGGUCGUCCGCCUAAGCCGAAGGACUUAUUGGCUCCCCCCAAGCCCAAACCCGUCAGCACCGGAAGGCCGCGUGGGCGCCCCCCUAAGAAGGCCAAGACUGGUACCGCCACCGCUCCACCACCUCCUCCCGGCGUGAAGCGAGGCCGCGGUCGACCUCCCAAAGUGUUACCGUCGGUGGGUUUUCAGUAAAGUAGCCAAGUUAAUAAACGAAAGAGAAUGGAGAAAAGGACUCAUUCCGUCACUGCUCCUACCCCAGCCGCGUUAGGUUUAAUAUUUUUUUAACCUUAAUUGUUUAGGUGUGGUUUAGUUAUCUGCUAAUUGACGUUUUAGCUUUUUCGGUUUUUUGUUGUAGUUAACUUUUGGUGGAGUACUGUAAUGAAUUUAGUGUAGGGUUUAGAUUUUACUUGAGUUCGACUCUUUGUAAUUUCAAUAUGUGAUUUACAUGUAAACCUAUUACUCUGUCAACCGGUGAUGACUCGAAACUUUAAUUUGUUGUGGUAAUUAUGGCAGGUUUGAUGUGACUUGUCUUUUUUUUUUCUUCCCCCGCUUUUUUUCAAAAUCAAAUUGUUAAUUAUAUUUUAUUUUUAUUUAAAUUGAAGAUAUAUUACUUAUUUUGUCAAAAAAUUAUUUAUAGUUAUUAUUAAAUAUUAGUAUGUCAUGUUACUGUUUAGUUAUGCUAGUUUUACUAUUUGGUAGAUUGGGUUAAUUUGUUUAUUUUUAAAGUAAGGUAAAAUGAAAUUUAAUUUCUGAUACAAGAAUUUUCAUAGUAAUUUUACCUUUAUGUUUUUCAUAUCUAAUUUCAUUUAGUAUUAUUUUAUAAUAUUAUAUCAUGCUACAUUAAAUUAAACUGUAAGAGCUAAUUUUUAAAAAGCAAUUACAUUUUAUGUAAAAUUUUUAAAAAUUUUAAAAAUCUGUUUGAAAAUAAUUUUAGAAUGAUAUAAGAAUUUGAUUUAUGGACCUUUGGAUUUAUUUUAUUAUAUAAAAGAAUUUAAAAAUUAAAGUUAAUAAUUUCUCCCUUUUUCAAGAAAAAAUUGAUGUAAACUCUCCUAAAUCAAAUUUUAUUUUCAAGUUGCACUCCCCCUAUUUAAAACAUGAAGACAUUGUUUUGAAAAAAAAUUGAAGCAAAUUGCUUGAAUUUCAAUAAAGGAUAGAAAAUGGAGUUGAUUGAAACUCAUAUUUUUUAUAACUUAUGAGCAAUGUUCUAAGAUUGAGAAAAUUGUGUUGCCAUUGCUUAUAGCGUUAGUGAACUCUGCAAAAUUUGGUGGGAAUUCUUUUUUCGCCUUUUUACAGGAAUAAUGUAAAAUUAUAAAAUUAUAUAUUAAAUUGGUAUGUCAGUUAAAUUAUAUAUUAAAAUAGUAUACUAAAGGUAAUGGAAGGUAGUGCAUAGACAACAUUACUUUUCCUUUUUUUUUUCUGAAAAUUAUUUUUUAAUAUUUAAAUAAUAAUAAUUUUAUAUUAGUGGUGCCUUAUUGGUAGGAGGUACCACAAAAAAAAAAAAGGAGGUGGUGCCACACUCACUGGUGGCACCAGUCACGCCUCCCUGACAGGAGGCACUGGUGACAAUGGCACGUCCUUUCCGUCAACCACACAAUGCACUGCAAAUGUAGUGUUAAGUCUUGUUGAAGCAUGAGAAGAAAGAGGCAGUAGCAGAUGGGGGACUUUAUUUACUAUCGUCCUUGUAGAGAAGAUCCGGCAGAGGGAGAAAAAAAGAGAGAAAGAAUGGAAAGGAAGGAGAAGAAAGAAAGAAAAAAGAAGGCAUAUUUGUUAGUAAUUAUUAUUUUUAAUCUAAAGGGAUUAGUAAAAAAAUUUAAAUAGAUGGGAUUAGUUAUUUUUUAUGUUGUUUUUUUUAUUUAUUGUAAAGUUUUUUGGUUAGUAAUUAUUAUAAAUUGUUUGUGUUUAGUUUAGUGUUUUAUUGUGAUUUUUUAUGAAUGUAAAUUUUUAAAAAUUAUUUUUUAGUAUUUAUGAUUAGGUUAUAAAUUGUUUGUGUUUAGUUUAGUGUUUUAUUGUGAUUUUUUAAGAAUGCAUUUUUUUAAAUUAUUUUAAAGUUAUUUUGUUAGUAAUUUAUGAUUAGGUUAUAAAUUGUUUGUGUUUAAUUUAGUGUUUAUUUUUAAUUUUUAUGAAUGUAAGUUUUUUUGGUUUUUAAAAAAAAAAUUAUUUUGUUAGUAGUUUAUGAUUAGGUUAUAAAUUGUUUGUGUUUAGUUUAGUGUUUAUUUUUAUUUUUUAUGAAUGUAAUUUUAUUUGUUUUUGAUUUAUUUGACAAUUUUUUUGAUUUAUUGAAAUGUUGAUUAAAUUUGUUUUUAUAUAAUUUUAUAGGUUGUUUGAAUGAAACUAAACAUUCAUAUUUCUAUUUUAUUUUUUGUUGAUUCGUAUGUUUUUUAUGUUUAGAUACUUUAUGUUUAUUUUAAUUAUAUUAUUAUUAUUAUAAACUAACAUAAAAUUUUUUCUGUAGGUAAAAUAUUGGAAUUUAUGAGUUUUUUUGUUGUAAUUAUAUUAUUAUUGUACUAUAUUUAUCGUAUUAUUUACUGUAUGUAUAAUAUUAAUGGGUUUUUAAUAAUUAUUGAAAAUGGACCCUCUAGAAAUUAAUUAUCAAAAUUUGUUAUUGUCAACAAAUUGUUAGGGUGUCUCAGUUUUGUAUUGUAAUAUUGUUUCUCCUAUUAUUGGGAUAAAAAUGCUCAAAUCCAAAUUAUUUACCUAUUGUACUGUGUUUUUUUUUGCAACAAACUAAUUGAAUUCUUUUUUUUUUUUAAAUUGUAGAUUUGCAACAAAUGAAUUCUUUGAUUAAUAAUGAUGAUCACAUAUAAAAAAUUAUUAAUGAGAUAGUAAUAAAAUUGUUAUUUGUUACUCACGUCAUUUACAGAAUUAUAUUAGGUUAUAUUAACUAUUUCACUAAUUUAAUAAUGUCAGGGUUUGUACCGUGCAUUGAGGGGUCGUGUGAAUGGUGUAAGCUAUUUGCCGGAUGAACACCUCUUGCCAUAUUUGGAGUUAGCCGGAUUCGAAUCAGCAGCAUUGAUCCAUAUCUUUGAUUUGCGAUACGACUUAAUAUCUACUUUGGUGGAGCGAUGACGCACAGAGACUCACGCAUUUCAUUUGUCGUAUGGGGAGUGCACCAUCACUUUGCAGGAUGUUGCAUUACAACUCAGGCUCCCCCUCGACGGGAAUGCACUUACUUGGACGUUCGCUAAGUGAGGGGAAAUUUACGGGUUUGAGGUUUUUAAGGCUAAAGGUCAAUUUUGAGCAUUUACCGAGUACUGCCAUUGAAUGGAAGGUGAUGUACACCGUUCGAUCUUACAUUAUGCACAUUAUAGGGGGUGUACUCAUGCUUGAUGCCAACAAUAACAAAGUCCAGUUGAUGUACUUGCUCCUAUUAUCUGAUUUGCAUAACUUUUAUUUGUAUAGUUGGGACUCCAUAGUGUUAGCUAUGUUGUAUCGUGAACUUUUUCGGACGAUAAAUCCUUCUGCCGUGGACAUAGGCAGAUGCCUAAUAUUGUUGUAGUCUUGGGUGCUGUACCGGAUGCCAUUUUUAGCAUCAAUUAGUCACCAAUCAUAUAUAUUUCCACUUGUGAAUAGGUGAUGAAUUUUUACUCAUUAUAACAAUUAUUUGACAUUUUUUUCGGAUGAUAUUAUUCUAACAAUUUGUUUUUGUAGAUGGAGUACUAUCCGAGUAUUAGGAGGUCAUACACGGUUCCGAUAUACUGUCUAAUGAUUGAGAAUCAUGCUGGAGAGGGGGAAGUUUUUCUAAUAUUCAUGAGAUUUUAUUAUUUUAUCUUACUUGACCUAUGUUAAUAUAACAAUGUUAUUAAUUGUGUAGUUCAUCUGGAUGCCCUAUUCUAUCCUGAAAAUUAUAGUGGUUAUUCCAUCGUUUGCCCACGUCUACUAGAGACCUAAGGUGGAUUAAUGCACCCAUUAUUAAUUUUCAGAUAGUGGAGUGGUAUCAUGGGGAUCGAGUACACUGGCAGUUUAGUUGCAUACAGUAUAUUCUGACACUGCCAAUACAGUUGGUGGACAUCUACGAGAUUAACAAGAGGGGGAAACAUGAAAAUAAUUGGGCGGUAGUGGAUGAACAAUAUAUUGCAGAGUGAAACAACUAGUUGGGGCGGAUACCUUAGAUGGAUCGUGCUUUGGAUCUACAACCCUAGUUAGAGUACAUACAGUGGUACUCUGAGAUGGGGAAACCAUCUUUAUUUGGUGGGUGGUCGAUGAUAGUCCUUCUGCAUAUGACAAGACUUGGGAAACCCUCCUAUUCCUUUCUACAUCCGCCUCUAGAAUCAGAGCCAGAGCUACACUAUUGGGAUAGUUCUUAUCAUCAAGACUUGGGGUGCGAUGACUAUUUCCCAAGCUCUUCAGGCCACAUAUAUCUUUUAGAGUUUGAUAUUUUUAGCCCAUUACCACCGCAAUACUCCACUUCCCCCGGCUCAAGUUCAUCGAUGGCACUUGAGGCAUAUGAUUUUUCUUCUAUGUUUCAUACACCUCUAUGUGCGGGUGAAAGGAAUGUUGAUCGCUGCAAUCACUCGAAACGUGAAUGUCGACCUCCGCAAAAAUAUACCCCUAGGACCAUUCCAUCAAACCAUCAAUUUUAGGGGUUUUUGCAAUUUAAAUAGUUAAGUUUGUAUUUAUUUAAUUCUACAAAAAUAUAAAUGAAAAAAUAUAUAAAUUUUGUAAUUCAAAUUAUAUUAAUUGCAACAAAAUUUAGUAAAAUUUUGUAUUUAUUUAAUUGAGAUUCAUUGCAACAUUAAAAAUAGAACAAACUUUGUAAUUUAAAUUAGAUUAAUUGCAACAUUAAAACGAGGAACAAAAUUUGUAAUAUAAAUUAGAUACAUUGGAGUACAUUAGCUCAACUCCUACCCGAUCGUGACGAUUGUCCAAUAUGGUAGUUUCAAUGCGGACAUUUACACCGAUUAUAACUAGCUAAUCUGCAUACACCAUAAAGGUUCCCGUUUCUCCAUAAUGUCAAUUUCAUUAUGGAUUUUAGAUUAUUGUUGACGACCUUUCAAAUUCCUAAGCAAAUCCUUUGUCUGGGAUAAGCUCGAAAGUCGUUGGAGGUACCUACCACGUAGACAGGUUAGGCAGGACGGGGAUCUCGUUCUCCCAGACACACAACGUGCGUUUGAGGGUGUACACCUAAUUGAUAAAUUGUUCAACAUUGAGUGAGACUUUGACACAGGGUGUCACGACAAGCACACAGGGAUAAUGAAGUGUCUGGAACCUCUUACAAUCGCACUAUGUAUUCCGGAGAUCAACUCCGUAGGACCUAGGUGGUAUACCGGUCGACGAUUGAUUGUCUCCGUAACUUGAAACAUUUUAAGAUAUCGUGAGUAUACUUUUACAUUCAUCGACCACGCCAUCCGACAGUUUGCAACCAUUGCAUCCUUGACAUAUUCAAGAAACACGUGUCCUACCUUCAUUUGUAGCCAACCUGUAGAAUGUAGCCGAGAACAUAGAUAAAAUCAAAUGAUGUCGUUUUUUCAUCAACACGGAGCUAACCCCCUUAGCCCAGUUUGUGGUCAUAUGACUAUAGCGAAAUCCAACCUAUAGAAGGUAGUCGAGAACAUAGAUGAAAUCGAAAGAUGUCGUGUUUUCAUCAACAUGGAGUUAACCCCUUCGCCAAGUUGGUGGUCGUAUAACCAUAGCGAAAGCUCUCGUCGAAACUUUGAGGUCAUUGCCACGGCUCCAUGGUACCCAACCACUGUCAGAAAGGUGUGUUCGUUUCACCCUCCAUAUCACUCUCAAGUCGAGCCAUCUUUUGCCAAAAAAUGUGUGACUCUAGCUCAUACGUUGUGUUUGUAUUAAGAAAAAAGAAAUUAUAGUCUCGCCCUAAAACAUUAAAAUGUAUAUUGAAAAGAUAAGGUCAUCAUUUACCCAUUCUCACAACUUGUCUCCGCCAAUCUGCAUUCUUAGAAUCUCGGUGAAAGUUAGCCGCAAUGUGCAUGAUACAGUAAACAAAUCUCCAUGGUACACUGGAACGCAUAAGGGCGGCAAUUAAUCCUUUCCCUCUAUCGGGGAUGAUGCAAAUAUUAUAGUUACUAAUAAUAUACCUCCGCAAGUUCGUAAGAAAGAAUUUUCAUAAUUUCAUAAUUUCCUUAUCCACAAUGGCAAACGCUAUUGGAAGCAUAUUCUUGUUCCCGUCUUGAGCAACUACAAGAAAUAGGAUUUGUGUAUAUUUACUAUAUAGCCAGAUUCCAUCUACUUACACAAACGACUUGUAGCGGGAAAUUGUGCGCACGCAUGGGUCAAAUGUCCAGAAUAUCUAUUGGAAAAUUAUUUUUCCUAGUUGUAGUUGGUUAUCCGGGCUGUAAUAAGGUCAUGUCUGCAACUCAAUUACAGUCUCAGACACGUACUUUUGCAUAGCAGCUAUCCAUCCCUAUAGCUCAUUGUAUGACGCAUCAAAAUCUCCGUACAAUUGCUUAAUUGUUAGAUGUUUAGCUAUCCAUGUCUUUCGGUAUGAUACUCAAUACUGGAAUCGUGUCUACAUUUCAGAAAUCUAUACCGAAACUUUAAUGGUUGGCAUGUCAUUCACCACUGGUAUGAUGCACGUGUGAGUUCUAACAAAUUUUUGUAUCUCCCACAUCUGUGACUUUUGGAUAAAUGCGGCUCGUACCUGCCAAUUGCAGCCUUACGUCGACCUCUAACACUUCCAUAUAUAUAAUGUCGGUUUAGACACGGUAACUUUGUAAUCCACUACACAUUCAUGUUAUACCGCUUAAUGGGAAAUACAAAAUAUUUCUUAAUUUUGAAUCUCUGGCCUAUGAACAACUUCUUAGGAUCAGAAUCUACGGAUAGCCAGUGAACAUGUAGUAUUUUAGGGUACUCCAGGAACUCGGCUGCGUGCUAUCCAUCUGGGUCUAUGAGCGACAUGUGUGCCCCAGGAUUAUUGUGUAUCACAAUAGGUCGAAUUUAGUUCCUGACUAAAGACAUGUUAACGUUUCCAUCAUCAUUCGAGCCUUCAUCGUUAAUAUCAUUUGAGACCUCGUCCACAUCGGGAUCACUAUCACAAUCAACCUCAUGAUUAGAAGCAUCACUACUAUCACAUCCAUCAUCAUCAACCACAUCAGUUUCGGAUGCAGAAUUAAGAUCGAUGUCAAUCCCGUGUACAGUUGAUUGACUAUCAACAUAUGAUAUCAGAACCACCAUACACGUCUCUUGAGCUUUAUAUUAUUCACUUAGUGGAGUGAGAUCUUCAGUUGGCUCCAUACCAGCCAGUUCAUUAGUGCAUUUUGGUCUAUUCGAUUCCCACAAUAAAGAGCGACUCUUGUCUCCACGUUUUUAUCGUGUACAAGUUUCAUCUUAGUGAAUUUGAUGGGAUUUGUCGAAACUGAAAACUUGUAGAAAAGUUUUGAGAUCCUUCUCUCACAAUGUCUAACAAUUUUUACACUAAUCAUUUCCUUCAUAUUAUCAAAUGAGACAUUUCUAUUAAAUCUCAUUGUUAUUUGUUGGCAACAUUCAAAUAUACAUCCAACUGUUGUUGUCAAAAUUACCCCAUCGAAAUAAAGGCAUAGGAAGAAUUGAUUAUCCAUAUUUAAUACUAAAUCUGUUAAAAAAAUGAAAAUUCUCAAAACAAUUUCAAACAGCAAAAAAUUACUUCAAUAAAAGAUUUAAUGAAAAAAGGACCAAAAUUAUGUCAAUAUGCAAAACUUUUCAUUUAUAAGCUCAGAUUUUUUUAGUUAUCAUUUUGUACAUGUACAACCACAUUUACUCAUUUUUUUCAUAUUCUCUACUCUCUAACGUUUACAUUAUCUUUACAUUUAACCACUUAAACUAAUUUCUAGGUUUUCUUCCAUCUACGAUUCUGUAUCUUCCUCCGGGAAAUUCUUUAUAUAAAAUUUUGAAUUCUUUUCAAAUUCAUCUUUUACAAUCCAAUAUGGAAAUUCCUCGGGAUCUUCUUCCUCUUUAAUCUUUAUAACGGGAAUCGAAUUUAUAAAUUCUUUUGGUAUUUUCCUAACAACUAAUUUAUCUAUCCAUGGUAGGUCAAAGACAUUUUUAUUCUGAGUCAACUUUCGAGAACCUACACUUUCUCUCGCUAUUUUCCUUGCUUCAUAAGAGAUUAUAAACUUCACAAAGUAUGUAACUAUAUUCCAAUAGGUUUGUGGUACUAAUGUCUUCCAAAGUUGGUCUAAAAUGAUUUGAUACCCGUGUUCUAUUAAUGUCCAUCUAAGGUUCAAAUAUUGCACUUUAUUCUUUUUAAUCAGUUCAUGAAACUUCCAUAACACUUCUUGUAUCUUUUGAUUUAUGGUAAUAAGGUGUUGAACGAUGCCUUCUUCUGGUUUCAUUCUAUAAUCUUGCAAUUCUCUCAUUAUGUUAUCAACUUUCUCUCUUUAUGCUGAACUUGUUAUCUCAUUAGGUAAUAUCAGAUUUACUGCCAUUUCUACCAAUAUCUUUGACAAAAAAUAAUUUUUUUCGGAUUUCAGUAUUUAUCUAUUUUCCUUUGGUGUCAUUACUAACUAACAAUUAAUCUAUAAUAGUAACUAACAAAAUAACUUUAAAAUAAUAAAAGAUUACAUUCAUAACCUAACAAUAAACAAUAAACAUUAAACUAAAUAAACAAUUAACCUAGUCACAAAAAUUACUAACAAAAUGUAACACCCCUAAUCCAUAUCCGUCGCUGGAAUAGAGUUACGAAGCAUUACUGGAGUUUACAGAACAAAUACGGUUAAUUCAUGAAAUUUACUAUUUAUAUAUGAAAUCAAUCAUAUUCAAUCAUAUUGUCCCUUAAAUGGACCCUCGAGGCCUAAUUUAUGUGUUUGAAACAAAUCGGGGCUAAAUCAGAAACUCAGAGAAAUUUUCGUGAAAUUUCAAAAAUUUUCCUAGGUACAGGGGGCACACGCCCGUGUGGCCAGGUUGUGUGGCUCACACGACCAUUGACACGCCUGUGUCUUAGGCCGUGUGGGCAUUCAGUGUGAGGCACACGGCCGUGUCUCAGCCCGUGUCCAUACCCGUGUAACUCUGACUUGGGUCGCACGGCCAGCCACACGCCCGUGUGCUAGGCCGUGUGGACAAUUUAUUUUUCAAAAAUUAGGUGUAAGGGAUACAUGACCAGACCACAUUCCCAUGUGCAGGCCCGUGUCUCUGCCCCUAUGGAUGAAAAUUAGCCAUUUUAUGGCCUCUUUUCUCACCCAUUCUUGACUUCAACCUACACACCUCAAAUUUCAUUCAUAUAGGCCAUAACAAGAUCUCUAAAACAACCAAUUCCUAACUUUAAUACGGUCAUAUUAUCACAUAUAUUCUAACAUUCUAAUUAGAACAUAAAUCAAUUCACACAUGUAACUUCUUAUAUCAACAGGUUUUACCAAUUUGUUCAUUACUAAGCCUAAGAACUAUCCAUCCAUUAACCACACUAAUGCUAUACUAAACAUGAUAAAACCAUUCAUAUAUAAGUUAACUUGAAACAUAAAUAAAAGGUAAUUAUUGACAUUUACACAACCAUUUCAAUCUCUAUACAUGCCAUAUAAACCAUAAUAUAUAUUACAAAAUCUAUCGGAAUAAGUUGGAUAGUGUGGCCUGAUGUGUUGAUCCGAUCCCCCGAUCUCAUGUUAAUCUACAAAGACAUUAAACAAACAAGUUCGUUGGCUUUUAAACUUAAAUCUUACUGAACAUACUAUAAUAAUUCUGUUAAGUAAAUCAUUCAAUAUACUAUUCCUGCCAACCACAACUUCAAUCGAUGAAUUCAUUUAUUUCAGAUUGAUAUCAAUAAUAACUUUAAAUCUUCGGACAUUAAUUCCAUGUCACUUACCAACCCUUGUAAAAUCGGAGAACGCCUUACAGAUAUGAGUACAUCGUAUUCAGGAGCUCGAAGGCUACAGAGAAACACAUAAGUGCUAAACAGAAACCCAUAAAGGUUGAACGGAAGCUCAUAAGAGCUGAACGAAAGCCCAUAAGGGUUAAACUGAAGCUCAAAAUAACUAAACAGAAACCCAUUAGGGUUAAACGAAAACUCAUAUGAGUUAACUAAAGCUCAAGAGAGCUAAACGGGAAGUAAACACGGAAGUUCGCAACAAAAGUUGAACCUCGGUUUACUUGGGUAAUUUGCCGUCAAUUCCUCAUUUGUACUGAACGACUGUACUCAAUCUCGCGUUCCAUUUCAACAAAUGAUAUGAAUAAAUACAAUAUAGCAUUCAUCAAUCUAAUAUAUAAUAUUAAAGUUUAACCAUACGAACUUACCUGGGUAAAAUUAUGAAAUUUGUAAUAGUUCAAGGACUAUUUUGCUAAUUUCCCUUUUUCACGAUUAUCUACUGGCUCUUGAUCUAAAAUAUAAAAUUAUUCAUUUAGUAGCAUAUAUUUCAAUUCUAAUUCACUUCACAAUUAAUACCCUCCAAUUUUAAAAAUUACACAAUUACCCCAACUUGUAUAAUUUUACAAUUUAGUCCUUCACCAAUUACCCUAUCAAAUGAGCUAAUUUUCUCAAAUGACAAUUUUAUCUAAAUAUUCCAAACAAUCAUACAACCUUUGAUCAACAGAAUUUUAAUAUCAAACCCUAAUAUUUAAUCUUUUCAGAAUUUAGUCAUAAAAUCAAUUUCUAUUGAAAACACUUGAUAAAAUCAUCAUCUAAUAAAAUUAAAACUCUAAAUCCAUGUUAAUUCAUCACAAACAUCUAGCACUCAUCAAUGGAAACUUUUAAAAUUACCCAUAAAAUCAAAAACUAAUUACAUAAAUACUUGGACCUAAUUGUAAAAGUCUUAGAAACACAAAAAUUUACAAGAAAAGGACAAGAAUUGAACUCACUUGGAGCAAAAAUAUGAAAAUCAGCUUAAGAAACCCUCCUAUGGCGUUUUGCUGAAGUUUUGAAGAGAAAAUGUCUAGAAUUCUCUUGUAAUUUCAAUUUCUAAAUUUAAUUUCCUAUAAUUUACAAUUUUACCAUCCAUUCCAAUUAUUUGUUAUUUCUUACCUACCGCCCCACUAAUUUAUUUUGGGCAUAAUUUCUCAUUAAGUGCUCCCUUAUUAAAUUUUCAAGCCAUUUGAUCACUAUUUCUUUGAUUAGCAAGUUUUGCACCUUUUUGAAUUUAAUCCUUUUUACUAAAUUAGCUAUCAAAGCAUUAAAAUUUUCUAAUGAAACUUUAAUACUACCUUAAUUACCCUCCGUAAAUAUUUACGACUCGGUUUAUAAAAUCGAGGUCUCGAUACCUCGUUUUUGAAACCAAUUAACCUAAUAGAUCCUUGUGAAACACAAAUUAUUAAUUCCAAAAAUUUUUCUAAUUCCAUAUUUGACUCGUAAAUACUAAAUAAUAAAAUUUUCAAACUCACUUGUCGGAUUGAGUGGUCUUGAACCACUAUUUCCGACACCACUGAAAAUUAGGCUGUUACACAAAAUUAAUUAAAAAUUAAUUAAAAACUAAUAAAAAAAUUACAUUCAUAACCUAACAAAUCACAAUAAACAUUAAACUAAACAAAAAAUUAACCUAAUCACAAAAAUUACAAACAAAAUAAGUUUAAAAUAAAUUAAAAAUUAAUAAAAAUUUAUAUUUAUAACCGAACAAAUCACAAUAAACAUUAAACUAAACAAAUAAUUUAUAAUAGUUACUAACAAAAUAACUUUAAAAUAAAUUAAAAACAACAUAAAAACAACAAUAAACAAACUACACAAUACUAAUAAAAUAAUUUAUCAUCAUCAUAAUCCAGUCUAUUUAAAAAACAAAAACAAAAAUGCAUUAUCCUUUUUUUUCUUCUCCCUUUCUUCUUUCUUCUCUUCUACUAUCUUUUUUUUUCUUUUUUUUUUGUUAAACUACUUCUCUUCUUCAUUAGGGACCAUUAAAAGGACCCCCAAAUCUGCUUUAUUGGUUCCACCUAUCAAAGAGGGGUCAUUGGCGCCGCCUAUCAGAUAGGGCAUAUACUAAACUCGAAACCCUUUUCUAUCAGAUAGGCGCAUAUACUGGUACCGCCUACUGAUAUGGCACCACCGCUAUAUACCAUUCCGGUAUUUCUAUGUGGGCAUAUACUAAACUCGAAACCCUUUUUUUUGUGGUGCUGCCUACCAAUAAGGCACAACUAAUAUAAAAUUAUUAUUAUUUUUAAAUAUUAAAGAAUUAAUUUCUAAAAAAAAGGAUGAUAUCGCCUAUGCUCCACUCUCCACUGCCUGUUGUAUACCAUUUUGGUAUAUAAUAUGAGUGACAUACUAAUUUGAUAUAUAAUUUUUUAUUUUAUAUUAUUACUGUAAAAAAGCCCUCUUUUGAUAUAUAAAAAAGGAUGAAUACAAAUGAAAGCACAAAAUACUAAGUGAACUCCUAUUUGAAAAUCAAAGCAAUUUGGAAGAGAAACAUAAUCAACAUUUAAUAAAAUGGACAAAUAAGAUUAAGAUUAAAAUUAAAAAGUAAAUGAUAUUUUAAAAUCAAACUUUUAUAAAAUAAUAUAAUUAUAUUUAAUACUUAUAUUUAUUAAUUUAUCAAAGAAUUUUUUAAUAUAAAUUUAGUAUUUAUAAAAUUUAAUAGUGAAAAUCCAAUAUUCAAUUUUUUUAACACUAUUUAUCAAACACACUCUAAAAUACAACAUAUAAUAUACAAAAAGUGAUGUAAAAUAUCCAACUAAAACAAAUCAAGCAUCUGAUCGGAAAAUAGAAAAAGUCCAAAUAUAGAUAAAAUACCCAAUUAGCAAGCAUAUGCAUUAAACUAAAAUAAAAAAAACAAAUCAUCUCAAGGAAAUUCUAAGGGUAUGUUUAGUAUUGCUUUUAAGAAGUAGUUUUAGGACAAAAAAUAUUUUUACCAUAAAAACAUUCCUAAACAAGUUACUUUUCGACAGAAAAAGUACUUCUCCUAAGUCAAAAAUUGGCACAAAUGCACUUUUUUCAGAAACUAAAAAUUUAAGCUUUUCCCUUAAAGUGUUUUUUUUUUUCAAAACCACUUUUGAGAAUCAUUGUUAAAUUAAGUUGUAAAAACUUAUUUUUCAGUAAUAUCGGAAAUAGUAGUUUUGAGACCACAAAUUCAAAGAGUAAGUCCGUAUUAAUUAUUAUUUAAUUCAUACAAGUCAAUUAUAAUUUUAUAUUGAACUUUGAUUAGAUAAAUUUUAAUUUAUUGAACAAAUAGUUUAGUAUAGUGGUUUGUUCUGUAAGUCAAGUGGUUUUCCGAAAUGAGGUAUUAAGAGCACGUUUCUGUAAAUUGAGACUAUAAAUAUUUUUAUUAAAUAUUUACAGAGUUAUUAUUUUGAUAUGUGAAGGUUCGGUUUAGAAAUUUUAAUGUUUAGAUUGUUAAUUAAUUAAAAAAAGACUAAAUCAUAAAAAGUGCAAAAGUCAAUCGCUAUUAGUGUUUUAGUGCCAAUCGGGCAUUUAAAUAAAAUAGGGUGGUUUAAUAUGGUAAUGAAAUCAUUUCAUUAGUUAGGGGAUGGUACCUGAGGUGAUCAUGGGUCGGGCUGAGCCGGGCCUAGACAAAAUUUUAGGCCCGUUUUCUAGGCCCGAGCCCAGCCCAGCCCAGCCCAAAAUAUGGGCCUAAAAAUUUGUCUAAGCCCGGCCCGAAAAGAAAAUUACUAAGCCCGAGCCUGACCCGGCCCAACCCAUAUUAAAUUUUACAACACCAAAAAAGUAUAUAUUUAAUAUAUAUUUGAUUAAAAAGUAUAUUUGAUUAAAAAUAAAAAAAAUAUAUUUAAUAUAUAAUUCGGGCCGGGCCAAAAAAAAUUUACCCAAGGCCCAGCCCAUUUUCUAAAUGGGUCUCUUUUUUUGCCCAAACCCAUAUUUCGGGCCUAUAUUUUUACCCGAACCCUCUCAUUUUUUGGGCGGGCCAUCGAGCCGGGCCGGGUAACCCAACCCAUGAUCACCUCUAAUGGUACCUAAAUGGAAAUGAAUUAAAAAUAUGUGGUAAUGGCAUUUUUGUAAUUAAUUUCGAUUUAAAACAAAAGAAAAUAAAAGAAAUUGUCAUAAUCUUUAUGGUAUUUUGGCUUGAAAAUUGAAUACCAUUGUUGGGAGAAGAAAGGAGCUUCAGUUUUCCAUUUUACUUUGCAUGUAAGUGUUUUUAACAUCCGUUUUUCAUGAAUUUUACGUUUUUGAAAUCAUUGUAACUAGAUCUAGCUAACUUGUAUCUUUGUUUUUGAAAUUGUUAAAGAUUUUAGAUUUUGCCAUUAAUGAAUUUUAAUUUUUUUUUUAUGUUGGAUGAAAGAUUUAUGAUCUUGAUUGUUGUUUAGGAUUAUUUUGUAAAGGAAUUUUAGUUAGUUUUUAGUUAAAGACUCAAUUGAUAAAAUAUUAAAAUUGACAGGGAAUUCUUGUGAAUUUGGAAUAAUUAUGGGCUAUAGUUGUAUAAAUGAAAAUACGGUUAGCAUGACAAAUUAUGACAUUUUGAUAAAUUUGGAAUUUUGGGUUUAGGGACUAAAUUGAGAGAAAUGUAAAAGUUUAAGGAAAAAAUUGUAAAUAGGAAAUCAUUUGUACUAAAGUGAAUAUUAUAUGAAAUUGAGGUUAAUAAAUUGAAAAAAGUUAUUUUAUAGAUCAAGAACAAGUAGAUAAUCGAGGAAAAAGGGAAAGUUGUUGAGUAGUCCCUGAACCUUCACUGUCUCUAUAGUUUAGCCUAGGUAAGUUAUGAUUUGUUGAAUAUUCAUAUAUAUAUAUAUAUAAUGUUAUAAUCAUCAAGUUAAUUUAAUGUGAGAAAUGUAAUUGAUUUGUAAAAUAUUUUGCGAUUACUUGUAUCGAACCCGGAUGAACAUAAGAUAGGGUACAAUUGGCAUGCCAAUAGGUUACAUUGCGCGUUGUAUGGGAUUGACUUGUAAUGAAAUGAUGAUUCUUGACUUGUUAUUGUCCACUGAAUAUACUAGAGUACAACAUUUUUUGCAGACUACCGUGAUAUAUUAUAGUGAUUUUGUUGUGUUACCGAGGGUGGAUGUAAAGUCGUCGGGCUUGGCACUUGGUGCCUAGGUGUGUUCCGGAGGGAUGUGAGCCUACGGGCUAGACAUUUGGUGCCUAGGUGUGUUCUCUGUUGGUUUAGCUCGUUUCAGCAUUUUGAUGUGUUUUGGAUAGUUAACCGCGUAUCCGUAUCAGUUUUAUCGUUCAUCGGGCGAAUUCCUAAUGGUAGAUGACUUGUUAUGGAAUUAUGGAAUGUUUGUAUGAUUUUUCUGAUAUUAUCGUGACUUGAUAUCAAAUGAUAUCGUGUGAUUUAAUGGAUUAUGAAACUCGUACAUACAUAUAAACUCAUCUAUUGAAUGAUUGUGGAUGACAUGAUUAUUGAUUAUUAAUAUUGCUAAUGUAUAAUUGAUACGUUUAUAAGGUAAAUUUUAUUGUUUCGACCGUUGAACUUUUUAAGUUCAAUUUAAGCUUAGUCGUGUCAUUUUUCUGUUUCUUUGUAGAUAACAUUUGGUGAAAUCGGACGAUCGGAUCAACAUGAAGAUUGCACUAUCCAGAUAUCUAUCGGUAGAUUUUGAAUGUUUACCUUUGGGUUAUAUGACAUGUAAUAGGUGUGUUUUGAUAUAUGUUUUGAAUACUUAUUUCUAAUGGUAUAUGUAUGAGAUUGAUGUAAAACUGUUUAAAUUUGGUAUUAGUGUGUUUGUGUGUUUGCCUAUGGUAUGACAUCAAUAUGUCUUUGUGAACUUAUAUUUGGCUAUUUGAUUCAAGUUUCAUAAUGGCAUGGUAUUGAAACAUGGCAAGUUUAAUGUAUGCUUUAGGUAUGGUGUGUGAACUUGAUUGCCAUUGAGUAGUGUAAAUAUGUAUUUGUUUUGGAUAUUGAAUUGUGAUUUCAAUGAGAACACAUUGGUUAAGCAUUUAGGUUGGAUGAUUUUGGCAUGUUUCAGGCUCAUUUAAUUGUGUUUCGAAUAGCUUUAAUUAAUGGUAAAUGAGUUGCCUGAUGUCCAAGUAAGCAUGUUUUUGUGACGUCCCAAAAAUUCAAGUAUUUGAUUUGUUAUAUUUUAUCAUAAGUUAAUAUUUGCUUCAGUGGUUAAAUGUCUCAAAUCUAUGACUGAGGCCUUAGGUUCAAAUCUUAGUGUGAGCAAAAAAGGUUUAGUUUUUACAAUUUUCGGUCAAGGGUGCAUGGGGUGGAAUUAGAUUGAAAAUCAAAUAUUGGGUAGUUAUCAGGUUGUGGGAUAGAAUUGUUGGGAUUAUCUUAGUUUCUUUUAUUUUUAUUAUUUUUGGUAACCUUAAAAAUGAACUUCAUUUUUCCCAUGUUCUUCUUCUUUUUUGGCACUUCUUUUGUUUUUCUUGUUCCUUCACUCCUCGUUUUUGUUUUCCUUCCUCUGCGAACAAAAUUCAAGAUUAAUUUUGGGAUUCUCCUUGUGGCCUUCCAUUUAAUCAGUUUCGUUUGGAGUUUUUUCUUGUUCAAAUUCGUUUUACUGUUAAUUUGGGGAGAUUUACGAGGCAGUGAGUGUUCCUCAUCCUUUGAAUUACUGUGGGUUGUUGUUAUCGAGAGUAAUGAGAUUUUCAUCCUUUGAAUUACUUCAAAAUCAGACCAAGCGUGUAACAAGAAACCCAAAAAAUAGUGAACAACAAAAGCUGAAAUUGGGCACUAUCGAUGCCACACGUCCGUGCGCCAGAUUGUGUGGCUCAAACAUAAUCGUGUGUCCAUUUUACAUGCCGUUUGGCUACUCCACAUGCACGUGUACUUAGGUCGAGGAGUUCACUAACUUGCGUCACACAGCCGUGUCGCAGGCAGUGUGCCAGCUUGUGUGAACCCUGCACCUAACACAAUAGGGGCAUACGCCCGCGUGGGUUUCUCAUGUUUGGUGCACAGCCGUGCGGCAGUCCGUGCCCUUGGCCGUGUGCAUUAAAAAAAUUAGUUAAAAUCAUGCCAUUUUCACUCCCAAAUGCUUAGGUGCCUAAAUAGACUAAAAGUACGUGCAUACCAGCCUUCAAACCACAAUCAAGAACACUCAAACCAUGUCAAAAACCUAUGUGCCUAACCAAUGAGCCACCAUUAACACCACAAUUCAAAUACAUAACAUUAAACUAAUUAAGUUAGCAUUUCAAUUCACAAGUAUAUGUCCUAGUGAUUAGCAAUCACUCAAGCGCUAUACCAUAGUCUAUGUCAAGACUUACCAUUUCUUAUACUCAUUCAACCACAACCAUGCAUCAUGCAAACAUACACCAUGUAACACCCGAAACCCGACCUAGGAGUUAUGGCUGAAUCUGGCGGUGUCACAUUGAGGUGUUUAACGUAAAACUUGUUGUCGUUGAAAUCUUUAAAAUCAAUAAUCAUUUUGUUAUUAAACGGUGAUUCCAAAACGGGUUGUUCAUUUCGAAGCGUGCAUCAUUAAAAGCUAAAAACUUUUAAAACGUUAUAAAUUUUCCAAUAUCUCAUUUAUUACGGAAGUUUUUUUCUUUUUUUUUAGAAAUGUUGCGAAAACGUGGUGUCUUUGAAAACAGUUACCUUUUGAAAACCUGGGUUUUUCUACAACUAGCAGUUUAUAUCAAACUAAAUAAAUAAAAACCCCAAUUUAAAGUUUAUAACUUUAAAGAGGCAUUUUUACAUAAAAAUACCCAAAUUCAGUUACUUAUAAAUCAAAGGCUAAAAACGAAAGCUGAUGCGGUUGUGUGGCCAUCAUCGAGUCCCUCGUAGCACCGAUCCGCUUACAAUUUUGGAUUACCUGUACAGUUAAACAUAGGGGCGAGUUUAUGAAAACUAUGUGUGUAAUCCCCUAGCAAGCAAACAGUCAAUUAAACAGUAGAUAAAUACAGUUUGGGUCUGAGCCCGUUACAGUAACAGUCCAGUUCAGUGUGGCUUAAUCCUUUUCCCAUAACAGUAAACGAUUGGGCUUGAGCCCAUCACAAUGCCAGUAAUCAGUAGGGCCUUUGCCCAAUUUCAGUAAUAGUAUCAGUGGGGCCUUGGCCCAUAACAGUAACAAAUAUCAAUCAUGUAGUAAACAGUAUGUAAUAUCAUAAAUCGAUGCAGUAACAGUACAAAAUCAUUAAUCAGUGUAGAUAUGCAAUUAGAAAUCCUACCCAAUCCAGCCUCUACACACCAUUCCGUCCCGCCAAACACCAUGUGGGGAUAAAAUCGACCCACCUAGCCAGAUACAUCAAGAUUAAUACCAGUUGCGGCACUAAACAGUAUUGCUGUAAAGUUGCCAGUAAAAUAAAUGGCAUAUAGCGAUCAGUAGGUCCACAGUCGUCUUGGAUGACCCGUGUAACCUUAUCAGUACGGUACACUUCCUCCAAAUAUAACAAUCCAUCCCUAUGCAAUUUAUCGUGACAUAAUAUCAAAAGUGUAUGCAAAAUGUCAUGCUCAAUCAUAGUCAUACAUACCAUAGAGCAAAUCAGUCAUACAUAACAUAAGGUGAUAACAGUCAUUUGACCCUAUGGUUGUAUUUCGAUCAUUCUACCCUAUGGGGGUAUUUCGGUUAUUUUACCCUAUGGGGAUAUUUCGAUCAUUUUACCUUAUGGGGGUAUUUCAGUCAUUCUACCAUACAGAGGUAUUUCAGUCACUCUACCAUAUGGGGGUAUUUCGGUCAUUUUACCCUAUUGGGGUAUUUCAAUCAUUUUACCCUAUGGGCUAAUUCAGUAAUUUUACCCUAUGAGGGUAUUUCGGUCAUUCUACCCUAUGGGGGUAUUUCGAUCAUUUUACCCUAUAAGGGUAUUUUGGUUAUUCUACUCUAUGUGGGUAUUUCAGUCAUUUUACCUAUUUUGGGGUCUCAGUGCAGAUAUCGACCUCUCGAAAGGUCCGCAGUCGCCUUGAGCGACUCAGGUAACCUAAAUGGUCAUAACAAUGUAAAUGGGCCCAAGGCCCAUUACUCGGCCCAAGUAGGCCCACACGCUCGAGCGGUCCGUUUAGCUCAAAUUUUGCCAUGACUAUGAGAUCUACAUAGCCCAGUCCAAUAUUGGCCACAAAUCGUAGAUUUUAUCCGUGUGGGGCCUACGAGCCUAUUGAGCCCACACGGCCUAUUUCGACCCAACGUGACCCAUUACGACCUCAGCCCAUAAAAAUGCUCAUAAAGGCCUCUAUAGUCUAUCGCCCAUGAUUCACGGGUUUGGCUUACUACAUGAACGAUCGCACGCUUGUGUGGUCUCAAUUACCGUAUUUCUCACUUUUCGACUUUUGCCGUUCUACAGUUACAGUGGGGUGUUUACACACCUUGUUUCUAUUCGUCACGUGCAGUCGCUUAAGCACCCACCAACCUACAUUUGGCCAAUCAAACACUACCAUCAAUCCUACUUUACAGUUAACAAUAAACUCGAAAUCUACAGCCCAUUCAUAGAAUAGAGUAGCGUUACCUUUGAUCGAACCACGAUCAUUUCCACGAAUCUAGUCUUCAGCGAUUGAUUAGGAAUCCUUGAAUCCUUCCUUAACUGCCAUACAAUUGCUAUCAGAUAUUACUAAAAGCAGAAGAAGAAAGAAAUAUUGAUUUGUUUAAAGAACUUACCGAAAGAGAGCAAAAGAAUCAAAUAAUAAAAGGAUUCAACACUAGGACAACCCUUCACCCUCGAUUUAAAGCGAAAAGAAAAGAGUAGAGUUAAUCGGUGGAAGAAGAGGAAAGGUUUCAGCAGUGGUCAGAACUGGUAAUCAACAGCACAACACAAGAAGAAGUGAAGAGGAGGAUCGGUUUAGGGGAGAAGAGGGAAAUAAAUCGAAGGAGACAAAAAAGAAUAUUCGGCCAACUCAAUGAAUGGGAAGAAGAGGUUUUCGGCAAACGCAAUGAAUGGAGAGAAUUAAAAUUUGAUAAACUUAAUGGACGGGGAGAAGUAAUAUUCGGCAAAGGAAACAACUCAACAAAGCAAAACCAAAAAAAAUGAGAAGCCCCCUCUAGCCAAAUUCUUGCGUGCCACCGAGUCCACUUCCGGCACUACAUUCCCUCUCCCUUCAUCGCUUGAUUUUCUCCUAAAAUCCAUCCUCAAAUCUCUCCACCUGAUCACACCUCCCCUCAACCACUUAAUUUGAAUUCUUCUUAACCACUUUACUAUCAAAAUUUUAGUCCAACACAAACUCACACACGGAACAAGCAGCAAAAUAACACCCCUUGUUUGCACAGGUAUUUGAACUCAAAACCCAUUGAAAAGAAAAUUCUUAGCUAUGGUGUUUCGGCUAUAGAAAAUAAAAUUCAAGAAGAUGAUAGGAUUUUUGGCUUUUGUUUUAAUUAAAGUUCAUUUAUUUACUUAAUUACUAUUGACCCUUUUAAUUUGCAUCCAAAUCUAUCAACUCGAACUAACUGACCCAAAUGACUAAUCAUAGAAAACUCUCUAGCAGUUUUUUCAGCAGUUAUACCUAGACUUGCAGAAACAACACUAGCUAUAUACGAGUGAGUAGAUCCAAUAUCAAUGAGAGCAUAGUACAAAACAAAAUGAAUAAAUAUACAUAUUAUGACGUCGACAUCAUCACUAUCCUCACAGCAUCUUGUCGCAUAAAUCGGUGUCGUCUAUUGAGGCUCAGUCUAACCGAUACCUCUACCAGUGCUCUUUGUUCUUUCCCCAAACCAUUACCCGUCUACUAGUACCACGACCCCUAAGUGGUUACUGAACCACUCUUGGAGGCUGUACAGAACCCGAAGCCGAAGUCUGUGUUUUAACUUGCACCUGAUUUGGUUGACAAGGAUAAUCCCUAACCCGAUGCUUCAUCGACCCGCAACGAAGGCACAAUUCUAACUUCUUCCAGCAGUCAUCUGGAUGGCAUUUCCCAUAAUUACUAUAGAGUUGAAUCUUGGGCCUCGGGGGCCUAUCAAAUCUCGUCCGUUUCUUAGGGCACUAUCUAGAACCAGAGGGACCCGAAUCCCCAUUAAUCUUAAUCUAAUCCCUCUUGUGGUCACAUCGCUCAUGCUCAUUAGGCUUUACCUCUUGCAUUAUCUUUUCUUUAUCAACCAGAACCGUAAAAACCCCUCUCUCUGAAGAGCUAUUAGAACCCACAAUCAUAUUGCAAUCCUCCCCUAAAUCUCACGCAUUUAUCAUCGUUAGAUGCUACCAAUGCUCAUGCAUAUCUACUUAGUCGCAGGAACACAACUUCAUAUUCAGCCACAGGUCGAUCUCCCUAAACUAGUCUCAUAAACUUGGGUUGGCGGGCCUCUGCAUAACUCGCAUCCGCAUACUUGUUCUGGAAGGCAUUCUUGAAAUAAUCCUAGUUAACUUUUUUGGGCUGAGCACCUUGCUCAACCGUUAGCCACCACUUAUAAGCCUCAUCCCGAAGUAGAGACACAAUACCCCUCAAUUUCUGAGUGAGAGUGCAAUCAUUAUCGGUUAUGAUACGCUCGAUAGCUUCGAGCCAAUACUCAAUAACAGUAGGGGCGACUCCAAUGACACCCCUAAACAAUUUAUCCCUUCGAUCGGAGUUGUUCAAUAACCGUCCCAUGACCUCCAGAUAUAGAAUGGGUCUUAGCAACCCUAUCCAAUGUCCAAAUCAUGGCUUGAGACAGUGCAUUUUCCCCAAUCGUCAGAGUCUAGGACCCCGUUUCAAGAGUAGGAGUACCAAUUGUCUCGCUGGUCUCUAAGUUGGGCAUACUACCCAUAGAGGAUGACUCCGCUUGAGCUCCUUUUCGGCAUCCUUGACGCCCACGAGUUCCAUAUCCAUGACUACGGCGCGAACUCAUUUUACCAAUCUAUCUAUAAUGUCAGAGUGUACAGAUCAAUUUAAGCUUCCAACAGAAUAAUCUCGCUAGUUCAGAUCUACCCAUUUAACCAGAUAGCAGUUUAUGUAAUACAAUGUUUCAAUUAGCCAUUAUAACAUAAUAGAAAUACUUACAGGUUCGGCGUCGGAGGCUUGGUCAUUUAAUAAUAUUUUAGUUUUCAUAUUAACUCGGAUAUCAUAUUUUUGUUUAACUACUCUUUAUCUCACAUUAUGAGCCCAAACACAGUUCGUGUGUUGACUAAUUUGGCUCUGAUACAACUAAAUGUAACACCCUAAACUCGACCUAUACGUCCAGACCAAGUCUAAAGGGUUACAUUGACGAUUUUAAGAAAACUACAUUUAUAAACGCAGUCAAAAUGAAUCUAUUCAACAUAUUAUAAUUAUCACACCAAUUAAUUAUCUAUAUAAUCUCCAAACAUCAUAAUAUCGUAGAAAGCUACAAUUACUAAUAGUAAAGUGAAAAGGAAAGAUAAAUGGAUUGACCAAGCUCCCGUAGCGCUGACCCGUUCAAGUUUGAGAACCACCUGAAAUUCAGUCAACAAUGAAAUCAGUUUUGUACCCAAUGCAUAAAAGACAUUCGUUCAAAUAAAACAUGUGCAUAAAAGACAUUCGUUCAAAUAAAACAUGUUUAUAGAUAAUUUCUGAAUCUCAAGAUUUAGUUAGAUAACAGAAGUAAUUUCGGUUUAGAUAUAGAACGGAUCAGAUACAUACGCAAAAGCAAUUUCAGUUUCAAAUACAUAACAUAUCAGAUAUAUAUGCAAUUAUUCUUAUCCCAUCGGCUAAACACCAUCUUCGACAAUCCUAACACACCAUUAAAGGCGUUCAAUGCCCAACCAACCCUACACACCAUAGAUUGUCUGUUUGACAUAUUUACAAAGAUACAUACUAGCUACUAUAUCGAAAAUGUGACAAAGCACCAGAUUUAUAUAUCUAUAUAUAUAAGGUGGCUUGGCCACUAAUUCAGAGCAAAUCACUUCCUCCUUCACAAAUAUCCUAAACCCAUUAUAUAUAUAAUAUGGCUUAGCCACUAAUUCAGAGCAGAUCACUUCCUCUUUCACAAAUAUCCUAAAUUCAUGCAAAUGCAAAUUACAUAUAUCAACAACAUGUGUUCAGUCAUUCUGAUUCAAUUCAUAAAUAGUUAAUACAUAUCAGUGUCAUUAAUAGUCAUCACAAUUUAUAUACAUUUAUAUACUUCAUAUCUCAAUCUCAUAGUAUCAGACAGUCCUUAUACAAUCAAAUUCAGAUCAUAAAUACAUUGUGAAGGCUAGUACUCGUGCUAAACAACACUCACGACCUCAAAAAUUAGGUUCGAACCUUAUUUAUGUGCGACACGGCUGGACACAAGCCCAUGUCAUUUGCUCGUGUAGUUUUAAAUCAUAAACAGUAAGUUACACAACCUAGACACACGCCCGUGUCCUUGCUCGUGUGGCUCACACGGCCUGACCCUUGCCCGUGCCAUCUGCUCUUGUGAGUCUAAAUCGCAAACAGAGAGUUACACGACAUGGACACACGCCCGUGUCCUUACUCAUGUGACUCACACGGCCUGGGCUCAGGCCCGUGUCCUUGGCCGUGUGGUCCUAAUUUGUAAAUAGUGAGUUACACGACCUAAACACAUGCCCAUGCCCUUUACUCGUGUGAACCUUGCACUAACAUGGCCACACACGGCCUGGACACACGGCCUGGACACACGGCCAACCAUACGAUCUACCACACGGCCGUGCGGCAUCGAUAGCCACAUUUUUCGGCGUCCAAAAUUCACAAAAACAGGGGUUUUCGGUACACACCUGCGAUAGUUUCUAAGUAUAAACAACGUAGAAGAAUCCCAGAACCUAAAAUGACCAUUCAAUAAUCAAUUAUACAAUCAUUCUCAAAUCAUCGCUAAGAUCGACCUAUCGCCAAAAUUUUGUCAAAAGUUUUGACACAACCCCAACUCAAAUUCGCACACUUAUCUUUCAUGUAUUAGCAAAAAACCAGACUAACGCGAUGGAGGAGUGCCUUUCGUAAGUCAUUCACCUAAAAAGGUAACCAAUUGAACACUUAAAUAAAGAAUUCAAGUAAAACAAGUAAAAUCUCAUUUCGGCAGAAUAAACGAUAACAAGACGAAAAAUCGUAGAGACUGAAUGAGAUAACUACAAAACUUACACAACGAUUGCAUAAACAACGCAAUGAGCAACAAAAGAAUUCCCAGUUAACACAGUAUCAAGAAUUGAAACAAGCAAAAAUAUAAAAGAAGAAGAAAAGAAAAAAAACAAAGAAAAAAUAAGAAUAAGAAUAAGAAUAAGAAUAAGAAUAAGAAAGGAAACAAAAAGGAAAAAAAAAGAUCAUAGAAUUAGUUCAAAAUAAUUUAAGUUAACCACCAACCAACCUUCCAAUGUUUAGUAAAAAUAUUCCUCAUUGCAAACUCAAGGAUUCAAAUACAGGACCAAAUAGAAUAUAAAUGUAUAACCAUUGAACCAACAAACUCAUUCUUAACACAAGGUUACAUUGUAUUAAACUUAUUUAUGUAUAGAGGUUAUCUUUAAAAUAAAAUAAUAAAACUUCUAAAAAUACGACUCGAACUCCUAACGUCAAUCACAUAAGUAGAGCACAAAACCACCGAUACAAAGAUUUAAUUAUGAUGAAAUUCAAUAGUCAAUGUUAAAAUUUUGGGGUGUUACAUCCUUGGUAUUCGCUUUUUCUUCAAAUUAGAAGAAAAAUAGGAUCGUCUCUUAGUUUUGGUAAGGCCCCGUGUUCGAUGCUUGAACAAUACAUUGUUGGUUAAAAUAACUCUAUUCUUAAAUUUCGUUUUUAUUUUAUCGAAGAAAAAAUUGGCGUGGUUCGACUGGUGUAUAGUUGGGUGAUACCAUGAGAUUAAGUGAUCUAAUUUAAAUAAUAUGCACAAUUGAGAUUAUUAAUUAAACUCUCCUCAUUUUGCAAGAUCGUCAAGGAAUUAAAUUGUCGGGAUGUUCUUGUAGUUAAUUUAUAACUAAAGAAGUACUGAUACAAUAUGUCAAAUAUGAGGGUUAAAUUAAUUAUUAUACCAAUUCUAAUACUCCCCCAACUUGUAAAACAUUUAACAAGACUUAGCAGAAAAAAAACCAAAAAAAAAAAAAAACUAAAAUAGUUGAAGGGUGAUUUUGUAAGUUUCAAAAGUGUGAUGAGAAAAAAACAAACAAACCUAGAGUGCAAUUUAUCUAUUGUUUCAAUAAAAGUAUUGGUCCAGCUCAGUUGUACUCGAUUAUCAUCAGGCCCCCACCCUUCGCUGUAAAUUCUCCCUUGUGAUCUCCUGUACAUGGCCUUUUCUGAUUCGUCAUAGUAAAUCUGAAACCCCGCUAUCCUCUCCUACCCUUCCUUUCCCUUUUUUGUAUUACUUUUGCGCAGCCAGUGGUACACCUUCGACGCAUCAAAAAAGAAAAAACCUUAAUUUAUUAUUGUAACUGAUGUGAUGAAUUCAAAGCAGAAAAGGAAUUCAUUAAUCCGAAUCCACGUCAUCAAUCCUCGUAGUGUCGCAUGAAAUAACUGGAUACCGUUGGAUAAACACCCCCCAAUAAGCUAUCCCUAGCCGUUGGAUUAUAGCUCCUACCAUUGUUCUUCUCCCUUUCCUUCCAUCUCACAGCCAAGUUUUCCCUUUUAAAUCCUAAAGCCUUCUCAACAAAAUCAACAAUUAACAGUUCACUACUUCGUCUUCCUCUCACUCUCUUCUUCGCUUUCUCUUAAAUAAUAAGAAAGCUAAGAGAAAAAGCUCUAAAUUUCAAUGGCGACCGAAGAAAUUAGUCGAACUCAAGGCCUCAAUCCUUCUCAACAAUCUUCUUCACUUCCAGACUACCCUCAGGUAGUUUGCAUUUCGUUGUUUUGUUGGGCUUUUCCAGAUCAUUUCAUUUGAUGUUAACUUUUUUUUUUUUAAAUUUUCUGAUUUUACUUGAUAGAUGAUUUUGGAAGCCAUAGAGGCAUUGAAUGAGAAAGAGGGUUCCAGUAUGUCAUCCAUCGCCAAGCACAUCGACUCCACUCACUCCGAUCUCCCAGCGUCUCACUCCACUCUCCUCUCCCACCACCUCAACCAGAUGAAACAAAUGGGUCAAAUUGUUAUGUUGAACAACAAUUACUCGAAACCCGACCCCAAUGCCCCACCCAAGCGUGGACGUGGACGUCCACCUAAACCCAAGGUUCCUCUUCCACCUGGCGUCGUCGUCUCUCCUCCCAGACCUCGUGGUCGUCCGCCUAAGCCGAAGGACUUAUUGGCUCCCCCCAAGACCAAAUCCGUCAGCACCGGAAGGCCACGUGGGCGCCCCCCUAAGAAGGCUAAGACUGGUACCAACACUGCUCCUCCACCUCCUCCCGGCGUGAAGCGAGGCCGCGGUCGACCUCCCAAAGUGUUACCGUCGGUAGGUUUUCAGUAAAGCAGCCAACUUAAAUGAAAGAGAAUGGAGAAAAUGGCUCAUACCGUCAUUGCUCCACCUCCCGCUUUAGGUUUAAUAUUUUUUUAACCUUAAUUUUUUAGGUGUGGUUUAGUUAUCAGCUAAUUGACGUUUUAGCUGUUUUUUUUUUUCCUUUUUAAUUUUUAGUUAACUUGGGGUGGGGGUACUGUAAUGAUUUUACUGUAGGGCUUAGACUUUACUUUUGUUCGACUCCUUGUAAUUUCCAUGUAAUUGUUAAGACCCUUUUCUUUACCCUUUGAUCACUUUUUUUCAUUUCUUUUGCUUUUGCUUUUAUAUUUUUCUAUUAAAAGAAAACAGUACAACUAAUCUAAAUAUCUUUUGCUUUUUACCAUUUUAUUUUUAAGAAGACAAGUUGUAAGGUUAGCUUUUCUAAAUAAUAAUUUCAAUUAUUUGGAAUGUUAUUUAAGGUUAAAAUAUGUUGUGGUACAUUUAUUUAGACACAAUUUGAAGUUUUUAUAUUUAAGUAUCAAAGUAUGUUGAAUUCCAAAUUUAACUUUGUGUAAAUGAACCCACAACAUGUUUAUUAAAUAGUUUUUAUAUGAUGAUUUUGUUUUGUAAUUGGUUGAUUGUUGAUUGUAAUGGUUGGUUUAAUCAAUUGAUUUUAUUAAUUGUAUAUUUAAAAAGUGAUUGAUAAAAUUUAACUGAUAGUUGAAAGCUAAUAUUUGUAAAAUAACAAAUAAAUGUAUGACAUUUUAUUAUUAAGUGUUUGUUUGUUUGUUUAUAAUACUCUAGUCUUUAUUGGGUGAAAUUAUUGAAAUAAAAUAUUAUUAUCAAGGAAUUAAAAUAUCCAUUGUGAAAAUUAAUUAGUGAAUAUUUUUUUAAAUAUAUUUUUGAUUUUGAAGGUAAAAAUGAAAAUGAGAGAAUGAAGGUUACAAUGCUUUGAGAUAUCUAUUAGGUUUGAAAAUAUGUGGCAAAAUAAGUAAUUUUUGAGCAAGCAUCAUUGGAUAUAUCAUUUAAUAUGUCUCAUUCCUAAUUAGUUGUGAAAAAAGUUAUCCAUUCUAGUAUUUUUUUGUUUUGGAGGUUUUAGUUCAACAAACUUUUACAAAUUUUCAUUCACCAAACACUGCAAUUAGUGAUUUUGACUACUCAAUCAUUAAUUUAUGUUAAAAUUAGUUAAAAAAAAAGCUUAAAACUCUGUAUGCAGGUAAAGUGAAUUUUAAACUUUUAAAAUAUAGUAAUUAAAACAUAAAAUUUGAGUAAAGUAUAGGGUCUAAUAGCUUGUUUUAAUUUAUAUAAAAUUGCUAAAGAAGCAUACUUAAAAGUUUAAAUGAUUUGAAAAAAAGUAAUGUCUAGGUUGUUCAAAUUCAUUUAUUUUUAAAAGAAAAUUAAAUUUUUGUUAAUACUUGCAACAUGUAAUAAUAUGAUAUCAUAUUAUUAAUUGACAAUAUAAUGCUAUCACAUUUUAAUAAUAUUAUUGUAUAAGUAUCAAAGUAUGUUGAAAAAUUAAAUAAAAAAAAUUUAAGCACCAAUUAACUACAAUUCUACAAAUGAGAAAAGUUCAAAAAGCAAAGUAUAUAUUAACCUUCAACAAUCAAUUAUAACACAACAUGGUAUGAAUAAAAUAAUAUGAACAUGUUUGAACAAGCAAAAAAAAAAAAAACCUAAAAUUUUAUAUAAAUUAAAUUAUUAAUGUUUUGAAAUCUGUAUAAAUAUAAUAUACAUAGGAAUACAUUAGUUGUUUAUUGAAAAUUAUUACAAGUUUAAUUUAAUAUAUUUUAUUUUUCAAACUGGAUCAAUAACUUGGUCUGUGUAUAAUUUUUAAAAUUUUGAUCUAAGAUAAUUUAGACAAAAUGUUUUUCUAAAAAAAAUUAAAGCAGUUUAAAGAAAACUUUAGCGAUAAUAUUGUUUUGUAGUAAAUAAUAUAAAAUUUUGUUGAAAUUAAAUUGGGUCUGAAUAAAAAGUUUGAAUUUAUCUCUGACCAAAUUGUUUGAAAACGAUAAAAAUCAAAAGCCUAGACAAAAAAUCGAUAAUUAAACUGAUUUAUGUUAUAAAAUAAAUAGACAGAGAGUAAAGAACAAAAAAAAUGAGAGAGCAAUAGAGAGCGUAUUUUAUUGAUAAAUCAGAAUAUUUACAAAGCUUCUUCAAAAUCUCUAUUUACAUAUCUAUAAUAUGCAUGAUAUGCUACCUCAUUAAAAAUCUUACCAGGAAAAUCCAAUAGGACAAAACCUCGGUUAAGGGAAAAAGAGUACGACGCGUAUUUACUCACCCUCAUGAAAACAUCACAUAUUCUAAGUAUUCAAACUUGAAUACUAGUUUUUCAAAUGACCAUUUGAAUGUAUUUGCUAAACAUUUAUAUUACCAUUCUUUUGAAAGUCAUGAGUGAUGGAAAAUUAAGGGGAAAAUAAAUUUUGAGCUCUUCAAGAGUUUCAACAAUAAUCAUAGCAAACUUUACUCAUGAUUCUUCUAUAAAAACACAAAUAGAUAUUUUGGAUCAUAUUAUAAUCCUCCUUCAACUACUAUUUACCACAUAUAUUCAAAUUAUUUCAAUUCAUAUAUAUGAACAAUUUCUCGAGAAUGUCAAUAUGCUUCUAGCAUCCAAAAUCCUUCAAGGAUUUUAAUAUAAACUUUACUAUAUAGUGGUUCAUAAAAGGUUAUACCAACAAUCAUUAGAUACAUGUUAAAUCUUUUAUGAAUUGCAGAAAUAAUAUAUCUAAAGGUUAUUGCAUCCACUACAAAAAAAUAUUAUAUCUUUUUAUAAUCAAUGCCAGGACUUAGCGAAAAACUUCAUAUUUUUAUUCUGCUUUUGUAAAACUACUUAUUCGCACCCUCACUGGCUUUAUACCUUUAGAUAUUUGGACUACUGGUCCAAAAACCUACACGAAUUUAAUUGUACUUGAGUUGCGUCUUUCAAUUUUGAUCCAUUUACUCCAUUUCUAUAUUUCUCAAUAUAUUUAUUCAAGAUCCUCCUUCUAUUUCAUUAUUUCAAUAAUAAUAUUGCAUGUAAAAUCAUUGUCGACCACUUUUAUUAUCCAGUUCCACAUUUUCUCUAAUUUACAUAACUUAUCGAGAUCUCUUAUUUUCAUUAUUUUAAUCUUCAGUUUCAAGUACCUGAAUCUCUUCUAGAGUUUUAUUUAUUAGUUAUGUUUUCGGCCUCUUCUGGAGCACCCGCCUCCACUGUAUGACCGUCUAGAAUAAUUUUCAUCUUUGGAAUCAAUCAAUCUAUUAUUUAUUCUAACUGAAUGUCCUAUUGGGACUUUGAUUCAAAUUAAAAUAUUAGAUGGUAUAUAACAAUUGGUUAUUCUCAUUAAGUUUGUAAAUACAUCUAACAGUUAACUUAUAAUGAGUUAUCCUUGUUGAAUUUUUGGUUAAAAUUACUCUUCCCCUAGCUCAUUACAAGUUAUUAUUUCUCUCACUCUAAUAUCGGGGAAACUAUCGAAUCAAAAUUGUAAUCAUAAGUCAUGUCAUAAUUGAAUCUUCAAUACAUUUAAAACAUCUAAUAAUAGAAAGAAACUUGUAAUUAAUAUAUAUUCCCAAAUUUUUUUGAGGAUUCACUCAUCUUUGUGCGUUGUGGUAGAGCAAUUGAAACAUAUACACCCAUACAAAAAGAUGAGAAAUAUUUAGCUCUUGAUCAAAAACCAAUUGUCAUGGGGAGUAUUUAUAACUUAUUGGCUUGAUGCAUAUAACAAGUAAACCAACAUGAUCUCAUGUUGAAAUAGGAAGUUUAGUUAUCAUAAAUAAUGGUUUAGACAUUAAUCAGAGGCGUUCAAUCAAUAAUUUCUCUAAACCAUUAUGCGCAUAAAUAAAAAUAUUUUACAAAAGUUUUUCAAACUCAAUCAUUAAAAGACUGAGAUACAAACUCAUCAGUAUUGACAAGAUAAAUUGUCUUAAUUGCAUGAUUUGAAUUUAAUUAUUUAAACAAGCAAUCUUGCAAACGACAGGUUGCA
rnacentral:lncRNA from 1 species